rnacentral:tRNA from 1 species
GCGGACGUAGCCAAGUGUAUCAAGGCAGUAGAUUGUGACUCUACCACGUGCGGGUUCAAUCCCCGUUGUUCAUCC